rnacentral:rRNA from 1 species
GAUGAACGCUGGCGGCGUGCCUAAUACAUGCAAGUCGAACGAACAGACGAGGAGCUUGUUCCUCUGACGUUAGCGGCAGACGUGUGAGUAACACGUGUAUCACCUACCUAUAAGUCUGGUAUAACUUCGUAAAACCGGAUCUAACACCGUAUAAUAUCUUGAACCUCAUGGUUCAAUAGUGAAAUACGGUGUUGCCGGCGGUUAUCGAUGGAUCCGCGGCUUAUUAGGUAGUUGGUGAGGUAACGGCUUACCAAGGCAGCGACGGGUAGCCGGCCUGAGAGGGUGACCGGCGACAUUGGGACUGAGAUACGGCCCAGACGCCUACGGGAGGCAGCAGGGGGGAAUAUUGCACAAUGGGCGGAAGCCUGAGGCAGCAACGCCGCGUGCGGGAUGACGGCCUUCGGGUGGUAAACCGCUGUCGCCUGUGACGAAGCGUGAGUGACGGUAAUGGGUAAAGAAGCACCGGCUAACUACGUG